AACGAACGCUGGCGGCAUGCCUAACACAUGCAAGUCGAACGAGACCUUCGGGUCUAGUGGCGCACGGGUGCGUAACGCGUGGUAACCUGCCCUUAGGUUCGGAAUAACUCCCCGAAAGGGGUGCUAAUACCGGAUAAUGUCUUCGGACCAAAGAUUUAUCGCCUUUUGAUGGGCCCGCGUUGGAUUAGCUAGUUGGUAGGGUAAAAGCCUACCAAGGCGACGAUCCAUAGCUGGUCUGAGAGGAUGAUCAGCCACAAUGGGACUGAGACACGGCCCAGACUCCUACGGGAGGCAGCAGUGGGGAAUAUUGAACGAUGGGAGAAAGCCUGAUCCAGCAAUGCCGCGUGAGUGAUGAAGGACUUAGGGUUGUAAAGCUCUUUUACCCGGGAUGAUAAUGACAGUACCGGGAGAAUAAGCUCCGGCUAACUCCGUG
rnacentral:rRNA from 1 species